rnacentral:tRNA from 1 species
GGUGGCUCAGUGGUAGAUUGCUUGCCUUGCAUGCAAGAGGCCCUGGGUUCAAUUCCUCAGCACCA